AUACCUUCUCGGCCUUUUGGCUAUGAUCAAGUGUAGUAUCUGUUCUUAUCAGUGUGACAACUGAUAUGGACCCAACUGGGUCCAGAUAUGUCACAAAAAUUUUUGUUGGGGAAGAGUGGACCUCCGAGCUUGCUCGGGUCGCUCUUGCGCGUCGCCUCUGUCUUGCACUCCUUACGGAGAGCGGUGCACCCUUU
rnacentral:snRNA from 1 species